rnacentral:rRNA from 1 species
AUUCCAGCUCCAAUAGCGUAUAUUUAAGUUGUUGCGGUUAAAAAGCUCGUAGUUGGAUUUCGGGCGUGGAGGUUCGGUCCGCCGUUUCGGUGUGCACUGUCUUUCUGCGUCUUUCUGUCGGGGACGCGCUUCUGGCCUUAAUUGGCUGGGACGUGGAUUCGACGAGGUUACUUUGAAAAAAUUAGAGUGUUCAAAGCAAGCUAAAGCUCUGAAUACAUUAGCAUGGAAUAACGCGAGAGGACUCGGUCCUUAUUUUGUUGGUCUUCAAGGAUGGAGUAAUGAUUAAGAGGGACAGUUGGGGGCAUUCGUAUUUCAUUGCUAGAGGUGAAAUUCUUGGAUUUAUGAAAGACGAACUUCUGCGAAAGCAUUUGCCAAGGAUGUUUUCAUUA